UAAACAGCAGACUGGAGUCAAAUGCAGAGAAAUCAAUCUAAUAUUGGCAUGCUCCCUUCAAAAGUGCUCAGAUUUAAAGAACAUUAUGGGUCAACUGAAAAUUCAUCAAACGGAGAACAUUUCUCAAAGAAAAAAAAAGUCCAGAUGAGCAAUGGGAAGUUCUGGCCCAUCAGCCUCUGCCCAUCCUCCCUUGAGAAGCUGAGAGUCUUCAGACUGGUUUCACAGUAGGUGCUGUUCUCACCUGAACAGACAGGAUGUGAGUUGAGCUGGGAGCUGAUCCCUUGCAGAAACAAUGGCUGAGAUGCACAUCAGACUAGGCCAGCUGUGUCUCCAGUGAAGUACAAAGGGAAAUGUAGGAAAUGAUGGGCUCCUGAAUAGAGCUCUGACAUAUAGUGGUACUGUACUCUACGCUGAACAUAUUGAGUGUUGACAUACACACACCAAAUAUACUGUAUUCUGUUCAUGUGAAAAAUGAUCAGAGAUCAAUAUCUCACAUUACAGUUUAUACUUUGUUUGAGCAUUAUCCACUUUGCCAAGAGC
ensembl:lncRNA